UUGAACGCUGGCGGCAGGCCUAACACCUGCAAGUCGAGCGGAUGAAGGGAGCUUGCUCCUGGAUUCAGCGGCGGACGGGUGAGUAAUGCCUAGGAAUCUGCCUGGUAGUGGGGGAUAACGUCCGGAAACGGGCGCUAAUACCGCAUACGUCCUGAGGGAGAAAGUGGGGGAUCUUCGGACCUCACGCUAUCAGAUGAGCCUAGGUCGGAUUAGCUAGUUGGUGGGGUAAAGGCCUACCAAGGCGACGAUCCGUAACUGGUCUGAGAGGAUGAUCAGUCACUCUGGAACUGAGACACGGUCCAGACUCCUACGGGAGGCAGCAGUGGGGAAUAUUGGACAAUGGGCGAAAGCCUGAUCCAGCCAUGCCGCGUGUGUGAAGAAGGUCUUCGGAUUGUAAAGCACUUUAAGUUGGGAGGAAGGGCAGUAAGUUAAUACCUUGCUGUUUUGACGUUACCAACAGAAUAAGCACCGGCUAACUUCGUG
rnacentral:rRNA from 1 species